CGCUGCUCCUCGAAUGAUUUACUUCGCAGUGCAUUGUAAUUUAGUGGCUGCGUGACGGAUGUAAGGUUAUAUUGAGGAGGAUCUUACCAUAUGCAGUAAGAUGCUUGCAUAACCAUGCAACAGGUUCCUCAUUUAAUUCUUGAGGGUGAACGGCACAAAAGUGUGCAAAUGAAUUCAGUGACGGAUAUAAGCUACAGAAGAGGUAUAACUAAAUGUUCAGACAAUAAUAUGUUAAGUUAUGGUGGCAUAUUUUAACUUUAAUCUGUUAAGUUAUGGUGGCACACAGGACCAUUGCAGCUUUCUAGGGAAAAUAAUUUGUGUCAUAAAAUGCAAUUCUAGAGUUAGUGAUAUAUAUAAUUUCUGAUGACUGAAUUAUAUAAUAUUUUGGUUCAGGAAGUUGAUUGGUUGCAUUGUCUAAAUAUCCUGCUAUAAAUUUUAAAAUGGUGCAUUCUUCCAAUACUAAUUAGCUAUCCUAUGAAUCUGCAUUGUUCAUCUAAGAGGUUAAAAGAUAUGCACCUUCUAUUUGUUAUGGUAGGGCUGUUCGGUGCUCCUUCUAUGAUUCAUUUUUAGAAGCCUCUCCCUAGCAAGUUUGCCACUCUGCAUUCCUCCAUACGACUGCACUAGGUUCACACCUCAUGCUGCCCAUAAUUGCAAAUGUUUCAUCCACACGGCCAAUCAUAUCCACUAUGUAACUGUAAUGCUUUGCAUUCGGCUCAAUCUCCUUGUCUUUCAUUAGAGAGAAAUUGUCUUGAGCCAGUCCGGCAUGACUAGCUGCUGCCUGCUGGCGAGUCCAGCAUGGAUGGGACUGAGGCCUUGAGCGCACACGGACUUGGUAUAGAGCUUCUACCUAUUCAUCAUGUUGAAUCUGAACGGCUAGCCAUGGAUCAACAACUGUACAACGCAUAUUGCUUGAUGUUGCUGCUCGUUAGUGUUGAUCGGUUUUCUUGACAGAUUAGGGCUCAAGCUUUCUUUUUUGCUUUUUCUCGGGUCGGCACUACUUGGUAGGGUGUCUACUCCAUCGUAAAAGAAGUGAAGUAAACAAGAUAAAAGGGUACUGAUAUUGAGUUUAUAUCAGGUAUGCAUACCAAGCAUGGUAUAACCAUCAUCUAUUAGUUGCUACUGUUUAUUGCAGAAAUUAAUAUAUAAUGAUACAAAGAUAUUGCACAAUGUAGCAUAACUUACAUGGAGAUGUGUCCGUUUUUCUAUCGCAUUGGUGUAAGGAGUAGAUCCACGUAGUAGAAAAGGAAUUUCUUCAUUACAAAUAUUCUUCACAGUUUGAGUUGAUCUUUUUAUUUGUGUAUAAAACCUAUGAUGGAUGAUAUUUUCAGCUAUAGAUGAAAUUCUAGCUGAAAAUUAAAUAUGAUACCAUGCAUUACCUUUCUUCAAUCGAAUGGAGGAAUCCUGGGACAAGUGAGUUGCUUCAUGUGUGUGAGGCACCCUAAAUUAUUUGAUUUCUUCACCGUAUUAACUAAUUAUAACCUCAUAUACAUCUUAUGCCAGUUUUGUUUUCAGAUCAAACCAGCUUCAUGUGACGCUACUUCUAGAAGAGCUAAGACUUAAGACGCUAUCUCUACUUGGGAACAAAAUGGGAUGAGUCUAAGGUUAAACUUCAGAAGUGUAAACCGGUCUCCAUAAAUAUGAAUGGUGUUGCAGACCUGGGUAUUGCAGCGGUGGGCGUGAGCAUGCUGUUGUUUGGAGUGUAGGAGUUAUAGGAGGACAUGCUUUGGGCUCGUGGCCGUGUGCACAGGCUACGGAGGUGCACCAGGUGGCCGAGAUUGUGACCGGUUGCGAGGGAUUUCAGAACUAGAGCAGGGACCUCAUCUCCUUGCUGCCGUAAUAAUUGGCCACAAUACUAGAAAGUCUGCUCCAAAUGUUUUAUUGUUCUUGAUAUUAGCAAGUGCUCUUCCUCAUAUGCCGAACUGACCUCCUAUUAUGUAUUGACCUUUAUUCUUCCUCAGAACAAGAG